ACUCAGAUUUUGUUCCAGAUUUUCGUCCAUUUCUAAUAUCAACUUAAUCCUAUCCUUAUUAUUCAGAUGUUGUUCCUAAUUAUCCACAUUAACAUCAUUUAAUACCAGCUAAACUCACAAUUAAUGCAUAAUUGAAUCAAAAAAGAAUUAGGUUUACAUGUGCUUGUGGUCUCUGCAACUUCAGAACUCUCUCUCCUCUUGCAAGAACCUCGCGAAUAGACGCUUGCCGGGAUCUUCGAACACCGCCGUGACAACGACCGCACAACACUCGACUCCGAUCAUCUCCUUCCAAUUCCGUCUCUCUUUCAAAACUCGCCUCUCAAUCUCUCCGCCGCUCUUCUCCUUCGAUGAACCACUAUUGUAUCGCCGCUGUGAAUUGCUUCCCUCUCUCGUAUUGUUUCAGAUUCAGUGCUUCUUUGAUUGAGAUUCAGGUGUGCGUAUGAUCCGCUCUUCUCCAAUUCCACUCACUCCGUCCACUUGUUCUGUUCGUAUCUUGGAUUCGGUGAUGGAGAUGUUGUGAUGCUGAUGAUUGAAGGAGAUGAUGAAAUCGAAGAGAGGAUUCAGAGCAGAACCUGACGAUUGUUGAAGUUGCAACGAAGAUUGCUGCAAAUCGAUGAAAAUUGUUGAAGAUCUUCUCAAUUCAGUGAUGAUGGCGUGAGGUUGUGACGAAGAACGGCGUUCUUGCGGAUUGAAGUAUGAAGAACGUUGAUGAAUUCAAAGAGAGAAGGAGGUUGAAGAUUACAGAUCCUGAUUAUGGAGAGCUUUGGAUCGAUGAAGAUGAAGAACGGUUCUGAGAGAGAGAGUUUUCUGUUAGAGUUUUCUUCCUUUUUUUUCUGAAUUUCUCUUGGUGAAUUUCUGAGUUUUCUGUGAUUUUCUGUUAUGAGUUUUUUGUUGUGAACUGUUAGAAUUUUCUUGUGAUUCUGUAGAAAAGAGAUUGAAGAUUGGGAGCCCCCUCUGAGAAUGAAGCUUCAAGAUGGUAUUAAGGAGAAGAUGCAGGAUGCAGGAUUUUGAUUGUGUGGGGCGGUUUAUUUGUGAAGCUGCAGAUCAGUUUUCUUUGAAUUUACAGCAGAUCCGGUUGACACAUUGCACCGCUUUGGAGUAUUGAACCGACUUGAUCCUUGGUCCUUUGUGUACACUCAAAUUUCUGUUGAAUCUUGUAAUUUUGCCUUUGUAAUGGAUAUGUAGAAUGGAGACUCUUUGAAUAUUUUUUGUAAUGGACAUGGACACUUUGUAAUGAA